rnacentral:rRNA from 1 species
CUACAGGAUUCCCCUAGUAACGGCGAGUGAAGAGGGAAGAGCCCAAGAUUGAAAGCUGGCGUCUUCGGCGUCCGCAUUGUAAUCUCAAGAAGUGUUUUCCGCUUCGGACCAAGCCUAAGUCCCUUGGAAAAGGGCAUCAUAGAGGGUGAUAAUCCCGUACAUGGCUUGGAGCGCCCGAGGCUUUGUGAUACGCUUUCUAAGAGUCGAGUUGUUUGGGAAUGCAGCUCAAAAUGGGUGGUAAAUGCCAUCUAAGGCUAAAUAUUGGGGAGAGACCGAUAGCGAACAAGUACAGUGAUGGAAAGAUGAAAAGAACUUUGAAAAGAGAGUUAAACAGUACGUGAAAUUGCCAAAAGGGAAGGGUAGGAGGUCAGAGAUGCGGCCUGGGAUUCAGCCUUGCUUUUGCUUGGUGUUUUUCCCAGAUUGCAGGCCAACGUCGGUUUUGGGCACUGGAGAAGGGUAGGAGGAACGUGGCACCCCUCGGGGUGUGUUAUAGCCUCCUACUGGAUACAGCGACCGAGACCGAGGACAGCA